rnacentral:sRNA from 1 species
UAAAGUUACUAUUCGAGUGGUGCAGUAUUCUAGUCAACCGGUCACCCCUGAAGGCGGGCCUAAAAAUCCGCUAAAGGGCGUAUCGAUGAAGUUUCUGGUGUUGGCUUGCGGAGCCCAGCCGUGGGUUGAUGCUGGAAGUUAAGGAUUGAGGGCGAUCCACAAAGGCAUGUGGGCGUUGACCCUCUUUCCGCGGAGGCCUAAGUGCGUGGCUGGAUGAGAUCGUGCAUCUGGCGAUGGCUUAGGGGAUGAACCUGCAUUCGGGGAAUGACUUGGAUGCAGCGUAGCCUGCCUUGAGUGGUAGGAUGGGGAUAUUCACUUGGUUAACGAGUGAAUUGAAAGUUCUACUGCAAAAGAGGCUAGGGGGAUGACGCAGGUUGUUGAGGAAAACUCCUAGACUGUUUGCAAGUGGCAAGGCUAUCUGGGGAUUAAAGUACGGACUAAGUGGUAAUCCAGUCCAGCGUUUGGCGACAGCGCUGAGAGAGGUUAUAAAGGGAAACCGCCUGAUUGGCAACGAUCAGGAUACCUCUUUGGGAAAUCCUACUGGACCUAAGCCGUAAAAUUUACCUGGAUAGUUACCACUCGGCUAAUACUUAAG